CCUACGGGAGGCAGCAGUCGAGAAUCAUUCACAAUGGGGGAAACCCUGAUGGGGCGACGCCGCGUGGGGGAAUGAAGGUCUGCGGAUUGUAAACCCCUGUCAUGGGGGAGCAAAUUAAAAAGAUAGUACCACAAGAGGAAGAGACGGCUAACUCUGUGCCAGCAGCCGCGGUAAUACAGAGGGCUCAAGCGUUGUUCGGAAUCACUGGGCGUAAAGCGUGAGUAGGCUGUUUCGUAAGUCGUGUGUGAACGGCGCGGGCUCAACCCGCGGACGGCACCUGAUACUGCGAGACUAGAGUAAUGGAGGGGGAACCGGAAUUCUCGGUGUAGCCGU
rnacentral:rRNA from 1 species